rnacentral:tRNA from 1 species
GCGCCCGUAGCUCAAAGGAUAGAGCGGGGGACUCCUAAGCCUCAGGUUGGACGUUCGAAUCGUCUCGGGCGCA